rnacentral:rRNA from 1 species
UUUCCGGGGCUUAGUGCCGAAGCUAACGCAUUAAGCACUCCGCCUGGGGAGUACGGCCGCAAGGCUGAAACUCAAAGGAAUUGACGGGGGCCCGCACAAGCGGUGGAGCAUGUGGUUUAAUUCGAAGCAACGCGAAGAACCUUACCAGGUCUUGACAUCCCGAUGCUAUUCUUAGAGAUAAGAAGUUACUUCGGUACAUUGGAGACAGGUGGUGCAUGGUUGUCGUCAGCUCGUGUCGUGAGAUGUUGGGUUAAGUCCCGCAACGAGCGCAACCCUUAUUGUUAGUUGCCAUCAUUAAGUUGGGCACUCUAGCGAGACUGCCGGUAAUAAACCGGAGGAAGGUGGGGAUGACGUCAAAUCAUCAUGCCCCUUAUGACCUGGGCUACACACGUGCUACAAUGGUCGGUACAACGAGUUGCGAGCCGGUGACGGCAAGCUAAUCUCUGAAAGCCGAUCUCAGUUCGGAUUGGAGGCUGCAACUCGCCUCCAU